CUGUAUGAAAAGUAGAAAGUAUGAAGUAUGUGAUGCCUAUAACAAUGGCAGAGCACAUAAAUAUUUGCUUAAAACCCAUCAGGGGUAAUCUAGUAAUUCUUGUGAGACUUGGGCUUUAAGUCGGCUGGAACCCAAUCUGGUUUCUGCGCGCUUCGUCGUCGAUCGAUACCACAGAGUGUGUGUCAAUCGAUUGUUGCCUUUGCCCAUUGAUUGAUAGUCGUGGUCGAUGGCCAACUUUGGAUCUUUAUCAUUCUAUCUCUAAAAUGCAUCAAAA
rnacentral:lncRNA from 1 species